rnacentral:rRNA from 1 species
UUGGUGGCCUUCGGGAACGUCUGACACAGGUGCUGCAUGGCUGUCGUCAGCUCGUGUCGUGAGAGUGUUGGGUUAAGUCCGUAACGAGCGCAACCCUUGUCCUUAGUUACCAGCACGUUAUGGUGGGCACUCUAAGGAGGACUGCCGGUGACAAACCGGAGGAAGGUGGGGAUGACGUCAAGUCAUCAUGGCCCUUACGGCCUGGGCUACACACGUGCUACAAUGGUCGGUACAAAGGGUUGCCAAGCCGCGAGGUGGAGCUAAUCCCAUAAAACCGAUCGUAGUCCGGAUCGCAGUCUGCAACUCGACUGCGUGAAGUCGGAAUCGCUAGUAAUCGUGAAUCAGAAUGUCACGGUGAAUACGUUCCCGGGCCUU